rnacentral:Y_RNA from 1 species
GGCUGGUCCGAAAGUAGUUAUCUCACUUGAUUGUUCACAGUCAGUUACAGGUUGAACUCCUUGUUCUACUACUUUCCCCCCUCCUCACUACUGCAGUAGGAUCGCUUGAG